rnacentral:misc_RNA from 1 species
GAUGAAGAACGUAGCGAAAUGCGAUAAGUAAUGCGAAUUGCAGAAUUCAGUGAAUCAUCGAAUCUUUGAACGCACAUUGCGCCCGCCAGUAUUCUGGCGGGCAUGCCUGUCUGAGCGUCGUUUCGACCCUCGCGCCCGGCUUCUGUCGGGGGCGGUGUUGGGGAUCGGCCACACCCUUCAGUGGGAGGCCGGCCCCUAAAUUCAGUGGCGACCACGCUGUAGCCUCCCCUGCGUAGUACUAAAACCACCUCGCAGGCGGAGAGCGGUGCGGCCCGCCGUAAAACCCCCCAACUUUUACAAGGUCGACCUCAGAUCAGGUAGGAAUACCCGCUGAACUUAAGCAUAUCAAUAAGCGGAGG